GACGGUGAACCUUGUUUAUGGGUGAUAAUAAGGUAUAUUUCAAGUAUUAUUCACUCAAUAUCAAGGACAUAGUAGCCAUCCUCAAAGUGUCAGGGGUUAACAUAUGAACAAUGUUGUACUGUUUGUGACGAUUUGGCUUCUUCCUCAAUAUAGAUCUUUGACUUAGAAUUUAUAGACUAGGAUAUCAACUUGUAUCUCCAUGAUAAAAAUUAGCUUCUCUUUUCAUCAAAUAUUUUUCUAAUUUUAGGGGAUAAUGGAGGCUUGGCUCCAUGAUAGCAUAAGCUUAAACUGUACCCAUGAAGGUAGGUUUCCCUACAUGUGAACUAGUCUUUCAAGUACAAUGACAGGCCCUUCCGUGCCAAGUUGUCAUGACUAGCCGGCAUCAAUGCCAAGUUGUCAUGACUAGCCGGCAUCAAUUCACUCAAGAUUACAUAAAUAUCUCCUUUAUGGGAAAUGUGUUCAU
rnacentral:lncRNA from 1 species